rnacentral:lncRNA from 1 species
CUGGAGUGUGGAUUAGGUCCCUGCCCUUGGUGGGAGCUCAUACUGACAGGAGGUGAGACUUGCCAGUGCCUUUAGAGGCCACUGUCCACCCCAGACCCUCCACUGGGAGAAGCAGAGGCCAGGAUAGGCUGACUUGUAUGGGUAGGGGAUUAUUUCAGUCUCUAAGUCCUGGCCAGUGUGGACCUAGGUCCCUCUGAGAGACACUCCUAUCCAUGGGGAGGUAGCGUGUGACCUCAGGCAGCCUACCAUAAUCCUGGGGCUUCUCUGGAGGACCCCACACAGAUCUAUCAUAGGAUAAAUCUACUUGUCUGUCGUAGAUCUAUCUCAACUAGGACCAUUCAUCAGUGGGCCAUUUAAUCAGCCCACUUCAGCCAGGAGGGCACAAACAUGAAGCUACUUUGCACUGAAUCCUAUCAGUGUGGUGAGAACAUUAGACAUGCCUAUAGGGAAUGAUCUGUGUUUUUGGUUGAUAUAAAAUAGAGAGCAAUUAAUUACUGUUUAGUAAAUGCAGGGCAGUGGAAAAGAAUCUUUCAAAAGAGGAUCCCCACAUGGAAACAAUCAAGGUGGCUUUUGUGAUGACAAGUGGGGAACGAGAU